rnacentral:rRNA from 1 species
AAGCAUAUAAUUAAGCGGAGGAAAAGAAACUAACUAGGAUUCCCCCAGUAAGGGCGACUGAAGCGGGAAGCGCUCAAGAUGUGAAUCUGCGCUAUGCGCCGAAUUGUGAUCUAUAGACGGUGGCACUACAGGCUGGGCCAAGUCCCUUGGAACAGGGCAGCUGAGAGGGUGAGACUCCCGUUCGCCUAGCCAGAAGAGCCACUAGUCAACGAGUCGAGUUGUUUGGGAUUGCAGCUCAAAUUGGGUGGUAAAUUCCAUCUAAAGCUAAAUAUUGGUGGGAGACCGAUAGCGUACAAGUACCGUGAGGGAAAGAUGCAAAGAACUUUGAAAAGAGAGUUAAAGAGUACCUGAAAUUGCUGAAAGGGAAGCGAAGGAAACUAGUGUUAGUUUGGUCAUACUUCCCUGGUUGCUUGCAGCUUGGGCGCUGUGUCCAGCUUGUGUACUGAUUGGUUGGGACGUUUGGAAGAGCGUAGUAAGAGUUGAUUGCUGCUGCUAGCACUCGUCUUGACUGAUACGUACGAAAUGGUUUUCUUUACCCCGUCUUGAAAC